rnacentral:rRNA from 1 species
CCUACGGGAGGCUGCAGUGGGGGAUAUUGCACAAUGGGGGGAACCCUGAUGCAGCGACGCCGCGUGGGUGAAGAAGCGCCUCGGCGCGUAAAGCCCUGUCAGCAGGGAAGAAAAUGACGGUACCUGAAGAAGAAGCCCCGGCUAACUACGUGCCAGCAGCCGCGGUAAUACGUAGGGGGCAAGCGUUAUCCGGAUUUACUGGGGGUAAAGGGGGGGCAGGCGGCGAUGCAAGCCAGGAGUGGAAGCCCGGGGCCCAACCCCGGGACUGCUCUGGGAACUGGGUGGCUGGAGUGCAGGAGGGGCAGGCGGAAUUCAGGGUGUAGCGGGGAAAUGCGGAGAUACCAGGAGGAACACCGGUGGCGAAGGGGGCCUGCUGGACUGCAACUGACGUUGAGGCCCGAAAGCGUGGGGAGCAAACAGGAUUAGAUACCCGGGUAGUC